rnacentral:sRNA from 1 species
UUGUUUUUUAGUUUCCUAUUUUAUUUUAGGAAAAAGUAAAAAAAUAAAUCAAACACAUGUCAAAAUCUAAGAUCGUUCAAAUAACCACGUGUCAUGAUCUCGUGAGUUAGUAACUUUCAAAACUGUAUUUUAUAUAAUAAGAU